GGGUUGUGAGGUUAAGCGACUAAGCGUACACGGUGGAUGCCCUGGCAGUCAGAGGCGAUGAAGGACGUGCUAAUCUGCGAAAAGCGUCGGUAAGGUGAUAUGAACCGUUACAGCCGGCGAUGUCCGAAUGGGGAAACCCAGUGCAAUUCGUUGCACUAUCGUUAACUGAAUACAUAGGUUAACGAGGCGAACCGGGGGAACUGAAACAUCUAAGUACCCCGAGGAAAAGAAAUCAACCGAGAUUCCCCCAGUAGCGGCGAGCGAACGGGGAGCAGCCCAGAGUCUGAAUCAGCUUGUGUGUUAGUGGAACGGUCUGGAAAGUCCGACGGUACAGGGUGAUAGUCCCGUACACCAAAAUGCACAGGUUGUGAACUCGAAGAGUAGGGCGGGACACGUGGUAUCCUGUCUGAAUAUGGGGGGACCAUCCUCCAAGGCUAAAUACUCCUGACUGACCGAUAGUGAACCAGUACCGUGAGGGAAAGGCGAAAAGAACCCCGGCGAGGGGAGUGAAAAAGAACCUGAAACCGUGUACGUACAAGCAGUGGGAGCACCCUUUAGGGUGUGACUGCGUACCUUUUGUAUAAUGGGUCAGCGACUUAUAUUCUGUAGCAAGGUUAACCGUAUAGGGGAGCCGCAGGGAAACCGAGUCUUAACUGGGCGUUAAGUUGCAGGGUAUAGACCCGAAACCCGGUGAUCUAGCCAUGGGCAGGUUGAAGGUUGGGUAACACUAACUGGAGGACCGAACCGACUAAUGUUGAAAAAUUAGCGGAUGACUUGUGGCUGGGGGUGAAAGGCCAAUCAAACCGGGAGAUAGCUGGUUCUCCCCGAAAGCUAUUUAGGUAGCGCCUCGUGAAUUCAUCUUCGGGGGUAGAGCACUGUUUCGGCUAGGGGGUCAUCCCGACUUACCAACCCGAUGCAAACUACGAAUACCGAAGAAUGUUAUCACGGGAGACACACGGCGGGUGCUAACGUCCGUCGUGAAGAGGGAAACAACCCAGACCGCCAGCUAAGGUCCCAAAGUCACAGUUAAGUGGGAAACGAUGUGGGAAGGCACAGACAGCCAGGAUGUUGGCUUAGAAGCAGCCAUCAUUUAAAGAAAGCGUAAUAGCUCACUGGUCGAGUCGGCCUGCGCGGAAGAUGUAACGGGGCUAAACUGUGCACCGAAGCUGCGGCAGCGACACUAUGUGUUGUUGGGUAGGGGAGCGUUCUGUAAGCCUGCGAAGGUGGCCUGUGAGGGUUGCUGGAGGUAUCAGAAGUGCGAAUGCUGACAUAAGUAACGAUAAUGCGGGUGAAAAGCCCGCACGCCGGAAGACCAAGGGUUCCUGUCCAACGUUAAUCGGGGCAGGGUGAGUCGACCCCUAAGGCGAGGCCGAAAGGCGUAGUCGAUGGGAAACAGGUUAAUAUUCCUGUACUUGGUGUUACUGCGAAGGGGGGACGGAGAAGGCUAUGUUAGCCGGGCGACGGUUGUCCCGGUUUAAGCAUGUAGGCGGAGGUUCCAGGUAAAUCCGGUACCUUUUAACGCUGAGGUGUGAUGACGAGGCACUACGGUGCUGAAGUAACAAAUGCCCUGCUUCCAGGAAAAGCCUCUAAGCAUCAGGUAACAUUGAAUCGUACCCCAAACCGACACAGGUGGUCAGGUAGAGAAUACCAAGGCGCUUGAGAGAACUCGGGUGAAGGAACUAGGCAAAAUGGUGCCGUAACUUCGGGAGAAGGCACGCUGAUAUGUAGGUGAAGCCCCUGCGGGUGGAGCUGAAAUCAGUCGAAGAUACCAGCUGGCUGCAACUGUUUAUUAAAAACACAGCACUGUGCAAACACGAAAGUGGACGUAUACGGUGUGACGCCUGCCCGGUGCCGGAAGGUUAAUUGAUGGGGUUAUCCGUAAGGAGAAGCUCUUGAUCGAAGCCCCGGUAAACGGCGGCCGUAACUAUAACGGUCCUAAGGUAGCGAAAUUCCUUGUCGGGUAAGUUCCGACCUGCACGAAUGGCGUAAUGAUGGCCAGGCUGUCUCCACCCGAGACUCAGUGAAAUUGAACUCGCUGUGAAGAUGCAGUGUACCCGCGGCAAGACGGAAAGACCCCGUGAACCUUUACUAUAGCUUGACACUGAACAUUGAGCCUUGAUGUGUAGGAUAGGUGGGAGGCUUUGAAGCGUGGACGCCAGUCUGCGUGGAGCCAACCUUGAAAUACCACCCUUUAAUGUUUGAUGUUCUAACGUUGGCCCCUAAUCGGGGUUGCGGACAGUGUCUGGUGGGUAGUUUGACUGGGGCGGUCUCCUCCCAAAGAGUAACGGAGGAGCACGAAGGUUAGCUAAUCCUGGUCGGACAUCAGGAGGUUAGUGCAAUGGCAUAAGCUAGCUUGACUGCGAGCGUGACGGCGCGAGCAGGUGCGAAAGCAGGUCAUAGUGAUCCGGUGGUUCUGAAUGGAAGGGCCAUCGCUCAACGGAUAAAAGGUACUCCGGGGAUAACAGGCUGAUACCGCCCAAGAGUUCAUAUCGACGGCGGUGUUUGGCACCUCGAUGUCGGCUCAUCACAUCCUGGGGCUGAAGUAGGUCCCAAGGGUAUGGCUGUUCGCCAUUUAAAGUGGUACGCGAGCUGGGUUUAGAACGUCGUGAGACAGUUCGGUCCCUAUCUGCCGUGGGCGCUGGAGAAUUGAGGGGGGCUGCUCCUAGUACGAGAGGACCGGAGUGGACGCAUCACUGGUGUUCGGGUUGUCAUGCCAAUGGCAUUGCCCGGUAGCUAAAUGCGGAAGAGAUAAGUGCUGAAAGCAUCUAAGCACGAAACUUGCCCCGAGAUGAGUUCUCCCUGAGACUUUAAGUCUCCUGAAGGAACGUUAAAGACGAUGACGUUGAUAGGUCGGGUGUGUAAGCGUAGCGAUACGUUGAGCUAACCGAUACUAAUGAACCGUGAGGCUUAACCUUACAACGCCGAAGCUGUU
rnacentral:rRNA from 1 species